rnacentral:lncRNA from 1 species
ACAGUCAUACGAAGUAGUGGCCAGCUCUCAGUCUCAAUGUUGUGGUAGAAGACCCACCUAGCUUGCGGUACCUUUGACUCAAUCAGAAGAUAGAGAGCUCGUGCGCAUUCAGAGUCACUCUUAAGUACUACAUCUUCAAGAAAUAUGUUUAAAAAAUUUUAUCCGUAUGCUAUUUAUUAAUACAUGUCAUCCUUUAUUUGCAGUAAUACUACCAAUUUAAGACUUUUGAGGAUGAGGAGGCCGACCAUUGGAUCUUCGAGGAGGUUGCCAUGCGUAGGCUCUAGGAUGGAUUGUACCACCUCAGGC